rnacentral:rRNA from 1 species
AUGGCAGGUCGUCCACCCCGUGAUGAAGAAAGGGCAAAUGCAAUGCUCGAAAAGAUGACGGCUGCCCUAAAGAUUCGAUCAAGAGUUUUCACGGAGGGCGUCAUGAUCAUGGUUUGCCCGGUGCUCCUUGCCAUCACACGAGAGACUGUUAAAUCAAAAAUUGACGCAAGUAAAUUUGUUCGGCUCAACACUCCCGGAAUAGCAGGGGCCGCCUUGGAGUUCGGCAUAGUCCAAUUCCUCGUUAUCUGGCCAUUAAGAUCAAGCACCGUGAACAAUUUGCUUUGCGUCACCUCAAAGAUUCUGAUUCACACCUGCGUAGUACUGCUGAUGGCCCUGGCCUCCCUCAUUAUGAAUAUUAUUGGUCUCAAGUGUCUCCCUUGCUACGUCGUGGCUAUGGUCUUGUUCGUAGCGCUCACCAUGUAUCUGUGCUACCUGUCAUGGCGAACGGACGACCUGGCAGAAAUGACUGACACUCAAUUUCAAGCGUUGAAGGGUUCACUUGAUCUGUGGGCAAACUUCUCGGCUGCGGUCACUACUGUUCUGUUUCUUGGUAUAGAAGCCUUGGCGUUAGAGGGACUCAUGAGCGACAACGCUCAUGAACUGAGGCGCCUGCUUGCAUUCCCGAUGGGGUGGAGCCUUGCUACCUGCGCAGUAGGCGUGAUCACAAUGCUCUUGGUGACAGUCCAUCCGUUGAUCUCCCGCAAUGACCUCAUGAUGUCCAUUCUCCAGAAAUUAAAUGUCGGGCUUGCCAUCUGCGUAUGUCUUGUCGUGUACUACAUCACAGUAGAGGCGGUGAUAAAGAAGUACAAGCUUACUACUCCACAUCUGCUACUCGAACUGAUUCUUCACAUCAGCGUAUUUGUGGUUGCCCCAUUUGUGCCCUUCAUGGCCUGGUUAGUCUGUGCUAUGAAGGGCUGCCGUCCGGGUAGGAACUCAGAUACCCCAGAUGAAGAAGUUGAGCCCGCGUCACUGGAACUGACCAAGAUCACCUUCGCGGCCUUCUUGGCUGUCAGAGUAGCAACUGCCAAUGAGACUCCAAUCGGCAACAGAGCCAUCAUGUUCCUAUGCUCUAGCGCAACAGCUAUUGUCACAGGACUCGAAUGGAGGCUCGUGACCCACUGGAAGAAAGUGCCGCCUCCCGUGGCCAGAGGCGCUGAUUGUGCUAACUUCAUUUCUCACCUGUGCAUGGCUGUUGCGGUGAUUCCAUUCGCAGUGCUGGCAGGCCAGACUGUGAAAAGGGUAAGUGAAGCACCAACCUCAACAGCUGGCUGA